UACGUAGGGUGCAAGCGUUGUCCGGAUUUAUUGGGUUUAAAGGGUGCGUAGGCGGCUAUUUAAGUCAGUGGUGAAAUCCUGCAGCUUAACUGUAGAAUUGCCAUUGAUACUGGAUAGCUUGAGUACAGACGAGGUAGGCGGAAUUUAUGGUGUAGCGGUGAAAUGCAUAGAUACCAUAAAGAACUCCUAGUGCGAAGGCAGCUUACUAGGCUGUAACUGACGCUGAGGCACGAAAGCGUGGGGAUCAAACAGG
rnacentral:rRNA from 1 species